UGGGGAAUAUUGCACAAUGGGCGAAAGCCUGAUGCAGCAACGCCGCGUGAGUGAUGAAGGCCUUCGGGUUGUAAAGCUCUGUCUUUUGGGACGAUAAUGACGGUACCAAAGGAGGAAGCCACGGCUAACUACGUGCCAGCAGCCGCGGUAAUACGUAGGUGGCAAGCGUUGUCCGGAUUUACUGGGCGUAAAGGAUGCGUAGGCGGAUUUUUAAGUGAGAUGUGAAAUACCCGGGCUUAACUUGGGUGCUGCAUUUCAAACUGGGAAUCUAGAGUGCGGGAGAGGAGAAUGGAAUUCCUAGUGUAGCGGUGAAAUGCGUAGAGAUUAGGAAGAACACCAGUGGCGAAGGCGAUUCUCUGGACCGUAACUGACGCUGAGGCAUGAAAGCGUGGGUAGCAAACAGGAUUAGAUACCCUGGUAGUCCACGCCGUAAACGAUGAGUACUAGGUGUAGGAGGUAUCGACCCCUUCUGUGCCGCAGUUAACACAAUCAAGUACUCCGCCUGGGAAGUACGAUCGCAAGAUUAAAAACUU
rnacentral:rRNA from 1 species